CCUCCCCCUCCCCUUGUCUGCUCUCUGUGUCCAUUCGCUGUGUGUGCUUCUGUGUCCGCUUGUGUUCUCAUCUGGCGGCACUGGGGAUCUGUGUCUCUUUUUGUUGCGUCAUCUUGCUGCACGUGUGUGGCACCGCUCCUGGGCAGGCUGUGGUUUCACGGAGGGCAGCUCUCCUUGCGCAGGAGCCACUUGUGUGUGUGUGGGAGGCGGAAUGGAACACCCUUACGUGGGGACAUCCCUGCAUGGGCCAGUACUCCUUGCACGCAGCAGCCUGCGCAUGGGCCUGCUCACCACACGAGCCAGGAGGCCCUGGGUAUGAACCCUUGGACCUCUCUGUGGUAGGCGGAUGCUCUGUCUGGUGAGCCACAUCCGCUUCCCUAAAGGAGCACUUAGCCUGUGCAGGGCGUUCCCGGGCAGCCGACAGAGUGGGAAAGGUGUUAUUUUUCUUUCCUUUCUUCACUUAUUCACGGGAGUAUUUACCGGACUCCUUCUGGACAUUUAGACUCUCUGGGGAUGGGACAGAGAGGAAAAUUCUUAAUGGAUUAUAUCAGCAUAGUGAUAGAACGGGCCGCAGGACAUUCUCCUGAAACCUUUGUGGCCUUUCGCAAUGAAAAGUUUAGAUAACGGAUGGUGGUGAUGAUAGAACAACAUUGUGAAACUGGUUCCCCACUUCCUUUUCUUCUCGAACCCCACGGCUUGAUACCAGUGAUGGUCACUGUCAGCUAUUCAUCGGGAACAAGAAACAACCCAGCCAAGGCGGUGACCAGUCUCAGGGCCCCACCUGUGCAGGGGCAGGUCUCCUGCCAGCACACCUGGCUCGCCUCCCCUGCCUGCUCCGCACCUGGCAGAGACGCAGCAUCAUUGUCCACCAGAAUCUGGGGGGCGUGUGGGGGACAGGCUCCGUCCUCCUGGCCGCAGCCAUGGGGGAGGCCGUGGGCUGCCCCCCUGUUCGCUGGGGCUGGGGUGCGUGGCCUCCAGGGACCCCCAGGCCGCUCAGGCACAGGGGCUGGGGGCGCUGCUGAGGCUCUUUGUGUAGCCCGGGACAGGGUAGUGGCUGGAGGACAAAGACACACCUAGAAACUUCCCCAGGGGCCUCCACCACCUCCGCAGACCCAGCACAAGCUCCAAAAGGGUGAGGCAGAGACAGAGCCCGCUGACCCCAAACAUGGCCUGCAGGAAGAGGGACUUCUCUGAGGGGCGGGGGAGCACGCAGUCCACCAUGUGGGGGCAGGGGAAUCUACUGCACCGGAAGAUGAGCGGCACGUGGAACCCGUAGAGGUGGUACUGCCCCGCCAGGGUGGCCCCCUCCAGGACCACCCGAACCCCCAGCUGUGCCACAUAGGCCCAGAGCAGCCUGCGGCCCCUGGACCCGGCAGCCGCUCGGCCACCAUCCCCCUCGACGGCCAGCGUGUCCUCCUCCUUCGCCUUUUCCAGUUCCUCCCAGUGCCAGAGCACGUGGUACAGGGUGAAGGCCAAGUAGAGGGCGCCGGGCACAGCCGCCAGCGCCACCUGGAAGGCCCAGAAGCGCAGCGGGGAGAGCGGCUGGAGGGCGUCGAAGCAGGCGGCCUUGCACAAGGGCUGCUGGGUGCUGCACUGGAAUUCGCUCUGCUCGUCGGCGAAGACCCCAGGCCCGCAGGCAGCCAGCAGCGCCACGCGGAAGCCCAGGAGCCCGGGCAGCAGGAGGCGCCCCACGGGGCUGGAGUGGCGGCUCUCCUCGGCCAGCAGCCGCCUCAGGAGGCGCCCGCUCAUCCUGGCCUGGGGCAGAGGGCGAGAGGACCGAGUGGUGGUGUGACUUCAGCGGGGGCCAGGGCUGCGGGCAGGACCGUGCUGCGUCCACCAGCAACGCUGUUCUCCCUCCCGUGCCCGGUGGGCUGCGGCCCUUUGUGCCCUGCAGUCCCCAAGGAAGAACUGCUGGGGAGACGCCCCUCCAGCCUGUUUCGGGGACCAGGACUCCCCACCAGGUCUGUGCCUGCGAGACAGGUCACCUCCCUUGGGAGACAGGUGGUCCGAGGCAUCCGCCCUGCUGACUGGUGAUGACAGAUCUGUCCCCAUCAACAGAGGAAAAAUGUCCCAUUAGAAUGGGACUGUCAAUAAAGAGAGCAUUCGUUUCCACAGAACCUCAGAGGAAGCAUAUCCCUGGAAACUUCUGUAAAAACAAAACCAAAAAAGCAAAACAUUUGGAAGAUAUCUGCUUAGGGUCUUCAAAAUGCAAUGAGGGGAAACGGACUUGGCCCAGUGGUUAGGGCGUCCAUCUACCACAUGGGAGGUCCGCGGUUCAAACCCCGGGCCUCCUUCACCCGUGUGGAGCUGGCCCAUGCGCAGUGCUGAUGCAUGCAAGGAGUGCCCUGCCACGCAGGGGUGUCCCCGCGUAGGGGAGCCCCACGCGCAAGGAGUGCGCCCGUAAGGAGAACCACCCAGCGCGAAAGAAAGUGCAGCCUGCCCAGGAAUGGCACCGCCCACACUUCCCAUGCCACUGAUGGCAACAGAAGCGGACAAAGAAACAUGACGCAGCAAAUAGACACAGAAAACAGACA
rnacentral:lncRNA from 1 species